CCAUGUGAGGACAUCGAGAGAAGGUUCUGUUUUGAAGUGGUGUCACCUACAAAGAGCUGUAUGCUACAGGCUGAAUCUGAGAAGCUCCGUCAAGCUUGGAUUCAAGCAGUUCAGGCAAGCAUUGCGUCUGCCUACAGGGAGAUUUCUGAUAACUAUUAUAUUGAGCGUUUGGACAGGACAGCGUCUCCCUCCACGAGCAGUAUCGACUCUGCCAGCGAGCCGCGGGAGCGUAUUGUUAAGGGAGAGAGUAUCCUACA